rnacentral:lncRNA from 1 species
GGCGGGGUUUCUCGCCUCCGGUCACAAUGGGACCUCUGUACCGCGCUGGGCUUGUUGGCCUGCGAUUAGCACACACCCAUCCCUGGGAACUGCUAGUCUGGAAAGCGGGGCUGCUUCUCCGGGAUGAGCCCGAGCCCUGCCAAGCCCCUCAAGGCAUUGAAGCUUUAGCUCACCUUAUCCGAAUGGUCAUUGGGCAUCUGGACUUGAGUUAACGACUGAAUUUUUCUGGGAAGCAAGGGACACGUUCUAAAAUAACCCCAGGAUCACUCUCCGAACUUGGCCUGAGUCUAGGCAAGCAGUGUUACUCGGUCGCCUUGAUCUUGGAGCUGCUGUGUACUGGGGACCUCAUACUAGUUGGGUUAACUAUAUUCCCAUUAGCAGUACGCGGGAUCGCAGUACUCGGGACAAGCUGAGUUCAGCUGCUAUGAGUAACACGAUCUGGAAAGACAGCGCUAGCAAGGAAUGAGGAGUGAUACAGUGACUGGAGGCUAAGAGAUAAUGUCUGCAAGUCACCUAAAACCAUUGCAGACACAGGGAGAUUGAUGGAUUUGGAGGACUUCUGGUUGUGAAGACUCUGACGAUUGCUAAAGAAACUGGCAUCUUUAUAAGAGGAAGAAACACCAGGAAUUCACGUGCACAGAGGAAAGGCCACGUGAGGCCACAGCAAGAAGGCACCACCUGUAAGCCAGGAAAAGAGGCCUCCCUAGAAACCAACAUACUGGUUCUUAAUUUUGGA